UACGGAGGGGGCGAGCGUUGUUCGGAAUUACUGGGCGUAAAGGGCGCGUAGGCGGCCUUGUCAGUCAGGCGUGAAAGCCCCGGGCUCAACCUGGGAUGUGCGCUUGAUACUGCAAGGCUUGAGACCGGAAGAGGAUGGCGGAAUUUCCUGUGUAGCGGUGAAAUGCGUAGAUAUAGGAAGGAACAUCAGUGGCGAAGGCGACUUACUGGCUCGAUUCUGACGCUGAGGUGCGAAAGCGUGGGGAGCAAACAGG
rnacentral:rRNA from 1 species